UAAACUAGGCUUCUAAAAGGGCUGAUUUACCAACAAAAUAUGUAUUAUUCAAGUAUGAACAGUCAAUUCUUCACUUGUAGCAUCUGCCUGGAAGAUACAUAGUCUGUUUUUGAUGCAGGAAUAGAAUCAAACAUACGACUGGUUUCAUUAUCAUCAACAACCAGGCCUCAGAGAAACUCCACAGUGAUUGCUUUGUGUUUUGGCUUGACUGACUUAAGAAAUUCCUGCGUACUCUUUUCCAAGGAAGCAAGCACAUUUUCAAAUGCUUUGCCAGCCCACACAGGACAGAAUACUUUAGGGAGACUCAUGAUUGAGAGACAGCCUUGGGACCUAGGAGACACGUCUUGCUCUGCAGCUGACUCAGAGAAAGGACCUGAGAAAGCAACUGACUUUGACAGUUGUCCGUUACUCAUUAUGAUUCUGUGUAGUGGGCCUGGGCAGUCAGAUGGACUCAUGCCUCAGCUUCAUCCCAGACCCCGGGACUGCCAACACCGAAUUACACUGGGGGAUGAGAAUUCGCUCUUACAACAAAACAAACAAAAGCAAGACCACAUACUUCUUUGCUGUCUAAUAACCCAACAAACGAAGAUGUGGUAA
rnacentral:lncRNA from 1 species